rnacentral:lncRNA from 1 species
CAAAAGGCAAGCGCAAUUUUGAACAGAAUUGACUCACUUGGCUGCAGAAGCUACAAAUACAACAGAGUGACAAGGCUGUCUGUAGAGAAAUACCUCCUUUGUUCCUGCAGGCUGUUAGCAUGCAUGUGCCAGUCCUGUCCUUGACUGGAGAGAAGCACCAUCUGAUCAGGUGCAAAUGUAAGAGCAUCUUUCUGGAGAAAAGUUGUGCUGAGUGGGAAGAGAUGAAAGCACCAUUUGGAGGUGAAGGUUGAACAUCUUCGUAUGUUGAGCUGCAGUGCUAACAAACAAGUGGACUGUAUCAGAGGAAGCCGGGGGCUGUUGCCUUAGCAGUGGUUUUGCUGUCUUCUGUUUUACACUUUUGAUAAAUUCCUUGGAC